AUGGAAGGCACAUCACACUGCAGGACACGUUCAGCCAUUAUAAAAGGGGCCUACAUGUAUGCCAAGCUCCCAUCAACCUGUGAUGGGGUCUGUGCAUCUGCAGUAGUUCUCCAAACACAAUGCUCAUCCCAUCCUGCACAGCAGACCCCAGCUCUAUGGCUUGCCUUGUGCUCUUCCUUUGCCCCAGACACCCUUCUCCUACAGCCCCAUUCCCAUUCCCACCCACGCAAGCCAAUCUCCAGGACCAAUUUCAACUAGCAAAUUUCAUUACUCAACUUCUUGUUGGCAAGCACGCUGCCCUGUUUGUAUUUGUUCCUCUGCCAUCUGGCAUUUGGAGGUUGAAAUAAACAUAAACUCUGAUGUGGAUGAAGGGGAAUCCACAGUUCCCACAUGGUCUUCAAACAACCCACUGUUCAGACAAUCUGAUCUUCAUACUCCAGCUCUGAUGGGAACUCUCUAUGGUCAGCCAGGACCUGCGUUUAGGACCCUGGUACCCAUCAUCCCUUCUAAAUCCCGUGUCGGCUCUGCUGCACAUCGUUGGUGUUUUAGAAACCACACUCCACCAUGCUACUGAAAAUUUCUGCACACAAAAUAUGAACAAAC
rnacentral:lncRNA from 1 species